GAAAACAGUGUGGGCAUUGAGCCCAAAUAAUGGGAAACAACGAAAUUCUUGUUGAGGAAAACGAAGGUAAUAGCUUCAACAAGUAAUGAAAUCCCUAGUCUGGGAUCGAAUCCCCAUCCCAACUUGAAUAAAGAUCGAGCCUAAUUAAAGAUGGUGAAGACGCACGACUAACAAGACCUGGCAAUGUAUUUUCUCAACAAAUUAAUCAAGGAUCAUGACAUGAUUCAGGAGCAUUAUUUGGACUAAUAUACUAAUUACAUGAUGAAUUUAUUCUUCAGUAGGUGAACUUCAAACCACUCUAUCAAUUCAAUUCAUCCAAAUAGUCCUAGUCAGGUUAGUUAUUACAAAUGAUCUCUGAAAUCAAUAAUUCAUACAAAAAAAUAAUAUCGAACGAGUAAAGUAGCACUGAUGCAAAAUCACGAGUGCUAAGCAUUCAUUUCAGUUGACUACUUCCACACGAUGACACCAAUUGACUGAACUUGGGUUCCUACUAUUUCAUUUCAAAUCGAGACUACAUCAGAAAUGUUCAAGAGUAUACCUGGGAAAGAUGAAACAAUGAAGAGAAGAAAAAUCAGCAGCAGAUAGCAGAAUCAAUUGAACCACAUCAAUAAAUUCUGCCCGGAAAAUGGAUCAAUAGACCAGGUAACAAACAGAAGGAGAAUUUGACCAAAAUAGCACUAAUCCCAAACACGAACUCAGAUGACAUCCAUAACAUCAGCAGGCAUCAAAAGAGGAACCUAAUUAAACUAACGACUGAUUGAAACAAUUAACAUUUGAGAAAAAGAAAAUCAAAAUCACAUCAUAAUUUAAAUAAAGAAAUGACAAUCAACCCUAAACGAAUUAACCUAAACACUUAUGACAAUCAUAAAGACAAUUUGGUGCUAAACUCGACUUGAAACUAGAACUAUGCUCAGAACAGUGAGUCGAACCAGGAACUAAAGAAACGAAAGAGAGAAAUCUUACCAAAAAUUAGUCUUCAAACCAACUGCUUUUGGAAUCAAGCUUUAAUUAAUCUUAUAAGUUUACCUUUGUCAAGGUAAUCUCAUAACAUUAAUCAAAAACCAUCCGAAUAAAACGAAUUAACCUAAACACUUAUGACAAUCAUAAAGAUAAAUUGGUGCUAAACUCGACUUAAAACUUGAACUAUGCUCAAUAGAACAGUGAGUCGAACCAAGAACUAAAGAAAUGAAAGAGAGAAAUCUUACCGAAAAUUAGUCUUCAAACCAACCGCUUUUGGAAUCGAGCUUUAAUUAAUGUUAUAAAUUUACCUUUGUCAAGGUAAUCUCAUAACAUUAAUCAAAAACCAUCCGAAUUCCUUAAGUUUCAAAACAAGUCGUCAUUCUAAAACCUUAGAUCCGAUAUUCGAGCCUAACCAGGAUGAUUCGAGAAGCACGGCUUGGGUAUUUGGGACGAGAAGGUUAAGGCGGGUCUAUGGCGUAAAUUUGGGGUCAUUUGGCAUAGGUGACGAACUGGCCGGAAAACUUCAAACGAAGAUUCGAACAACCUGGUUGUGAUUCGAAGGAAGCCAGUUUGAUAUUUGGAAUUGAGGAAUAGAAGGAGAAUCUGGGGUGUGAUUUUGGGAUGGAUUGGCCAUGGCGGCGACGGCUCCGACGAGGUGUGAAACGGUACGAGGAAGAUGAGAGGAUGUCUCUAGGGUUCUGAUUCUAUUCAGACACUUUUAACUGAUUUGGGGGUGAGCUAUGGGCCGUUAGAUCAAGUUAUAUCGACGGCUGAGAUUGAUUAGUUCAAGACGGCGUCGUUCUGGUAAAAUGGGGGUUGGGUCGGGCAUGUGGACAGGUAUGGGCUGCAACAGGCGGGUCCGAUUGGCUUUGAGUGAAAUUGUUUGGGCUUGGAUGCUGGUGUGUUUUUGGGCUCAGCUCUACUUCAAACAUAACAGGCCAAUUUCUUUUCCUUUGUUAUAAAAACUCUUGUGUUUUUC
rnacentral:lncRNA from 1 species